rnacentral:rRNA from 1 species
GUGAGGAAUUUUCCGCAAUGAGCGAAAGCCUGACGGAGCAAUGCCGCGUGAAGGAUGAAGGCCUAUGGGUUGUAAACUUCUUUUCUCAGAAAAGAAUUAUGACGGUAUCUGAGGAAUAAGCAUCGGCUAACUCUGUGCCAGCAGCCGCGGUAAGACAGAGGAUGCAAGCGUUAUCCGGAAUGAUUGGGCGUAAAGCGUCUGUAGGUUGUUUAAAAAGUAUUCUGUCAAAGAUUAGGGCUUAACCCUAGAUAGGCAGAAUAAACUUUUAAGCUAGAGUUUGGUAGAGGCAGAGGGAAUUCCCGGUGGAGCGGUGAAAUGCGUAGAUAUCGGGAGGAACACCAAAGGCGAAGGCACUCUGCUGGGCCAAUACUAACACUGAGAGACGAAAGCGAGGGGAGCAAAUGGGAUUAGAAACCCCUGUAGUCC